rnacentral:lncRNA from 1 species
AAUGGAGCCCAGCGAGAGGAAGCAGAAGGAAAAACAAGAACCAAAAACUAUCAGAAACAUUGAGGCUAGACUACAGCGAUGUUUAACUCGCAAGAGGCGGCUUCUCUGUCCUUUUUUCUGAGCAUGGGGACAAAACUGUCCUGUUUUCUGAGGGCAGCUGACCUCGCCUGAGUCCUGGCUGUAGACUGAGUUUCCUGCAGCAGGCAGGACCCGGCUUCCUGCAAGCUUGCAUAGAUGAUAAGGUCCAAGGUAUAGGAAAUCCUGAUAGCAGUGACCGGAAUGUCCGAGAUCUUUAAAGACUUGGUUUGAAGAAACUUGAAGACGUCAUCGCUGAGAUCUUCUGAGGUCAGCUUCUGAAGGACUCUCCUCGCGUACGGCCCUGCAACUCCCAGGACCCCAAGCUCAUCGGUUACGUUUUGAAUUUCCACAUCAUAUCCACCUCUGAAGGCUGCUUCUUCAAUCCAUCUGCAUUGGGGUCAUAAGCCUGGUUAAACGUUGCUUGAAUAAUGCAUGUUUCUACCAUUCUAUGUCUCUGAAGU